CCUCGUGUUAGAGUGAGAGGUUUAGAAAGAAGAAACCCCCUCGUGUUAGAGUGAGAGGUUUAGAAAGAAGAAACCCCCUCGUGUUAGAGUGAGAGGGUUAGAAAGAAGAAACCCCCUAGUGUUAGAGUGAGAUGGUUAGAAAGAAGAAACCCCCUAGUGUUAGAGUGAGAGGGUUAGAAAGAAGAAACCCCCCUAGUGUUAGAGUGAGAGGGUUAGAAAGAAGAAACCCC